rnacentral:rRNA from 1 species
AAUCAACGCUGGCGGCGUGCCUAACACAUGCAAGUCGAGCGCGAAAGCGGGGCAACCCGCAAGUAGAGCGGCGAACGGGUGAGUAACGCGUGGGUGAUCUACCUCCGAGUGGGGAACAACAUCGGGAAACUGGUGCUAAUACCGCAUGACAUCCUCAGGUCACACUGAGGAUCAAAGCCGGGGACCGUAAGGCCUGGCGCUUGGAGAGGAGCCCGCGUCCGAUAGCUAGUUGGCGGGGUAACGGCCCACCAAGGCGACGAUCGGUAGCCGGCCUGAGAGGGCGGACGGCCACACUGGGACUGCGACACGGCCCAGACUCCUACGGGAGGCAGCAGUGGGGAAUUUUGGACAAUGGGCGCAAGCCUGAUCCAGCCAUGCCGCGUGUGUGAAGAAGGCCUCGGUUGUAAG